CUCUUUCUGGAGAUCCUCCUCUUUGGUGGAGCUUUCCCCUGCAAGCCUGGAACCUUCUGAUAUGGAACAACAUAUUACGGAAAACCAAUUUUCUGUCUGGAUUAGUUCUUUAUCUGCCAAUUGAGCUCUGUGCUAUCUCUGUUACCCUGUGAGCUGCUGGGACCCACGGGCCCUGCUCGUUGCCCUGUUAUUAUCCAUUUGAAGAUCAGCUCUUCUGUGCUGGAGAGAAGGCUUGUUAAGGAAAUUCACAAAAGGCAAAAGACAUCGGCAGGCACUAGAAAGAGCAAGAGGAAGAAUCUGGAGGAUACAAAGAGGGAUUUCAAUCUUCAGGCUCAUUUCUUGGUGGAAAAUAAGCUAAGCAUCCUCUCAGUUCUCAGCCAAGAGUAAAAAUCCACUGGGUUUGUCUUUGUGAUGCUUUCCCUGACACUGGCACAAAUCCAAAGCACCUCAUUGAUUUUCUGUUUUGCCCAGUCUGAGAUCAGCAGGAUGAGAUUGCUGCUGUUUGCUGGGCUGAGUUAUUGCCUGCUGCUUCCAGUGAAGCACUCUGGCAGAUGCAAAGCAGUAGAUAUAGUUUGUUUGCUUGUUUUGUUUCAUUUUCCCCAUGAAAUGCCACUUCUGGGCAUUGUAUCUUCUCACCCUUCUCAACCUGGGUGAUCCAGGGCAUGUUUGGAAGCCACAGCUUUGCAGGACUGUAUAAAACUCUCUUGGUUCUGCCUCAUGAUCUCUGUGAAAGUUAGUCUAGUUCUGGCCAGACAUAGCCCUGCUCUGUAAUCCUGGGUGCUCUUAGCAGCUCAGAGAGUGACUGUCUGCACCGGUCAGUCUGCCAUCAGAUUUACUGACAUCAGGACAGAGGCACUUCAUGUAGAGAGGAGCGUGGAUUGAAACAAAGCCUUUAGAAAUUGCUGCAGUACAAGCAACUUAAAAAUGAGCCUGGGAGCCCUGCAGUGCCUUUGGGUCUGGGAUGAGCUCCUGCUCUCUCCCUGGAAACUUCCCUUGCUGGUGGAUGGGAUAUGCCAGUUUCUUCUGUUCUUCAGUGCAGGGAGGAAUGGAGUGGCUGAAUGCUGAGUAUUCAUUGUUGUGAACAACAGUUUGGAAAGCACAACUUUCCAACU
ensembl:lncRNA